rnacentral:rRNA from 1 species
UACGAAGGGGGCUAGCGUUGCUCGGAAUCACUGGGCGUAAAGCGCACGUAGGCGGAUUGCUAAGUCAGGGGUGAAAUCCUGGAGCUCAACUCCAGAACUGCCUUUGAUACUGGCGAUCUUGAGUCCGGGAGAGGUGAGUGGAACUGCGAGUGUAGAGGUGAAAUUCGUAGAUAUUCGCAAGAACACCAGUGGCGAAGGCGGCUCACUGGCCCGGUACUGACGCUGAGGUGCGAAAGCUAGGGGAGCAAACGGG